rfam:Methanohalophilus mahii DSM 5219, complete genome.
UACAGCGGCCAUAGCGGCAGGGUAACUCCUGUACCCAUCCCGAACACAGAAGAUAAGCCUGCCAGCGUUGUAUACGGUACUAAAGUGCGAGAGCCUUUGGGAACUAUACAUCGCUGCUGACU